CACCGAGCGGAUGAGUUGCGAACGGGUGAGUAACGCGUAGGUAACCUGCCUCUUAGCGGGGGAUAACUAUUGGAAACGAUAGCUAAUACCGCAUAAAAGUCGAUAUCGCAUGAUAUUGAUUUGAAAGGUGCAAUUGCAUCACUAAGAGAUGGACCUGCGUUGUAUUAGCUAGUUGGUGAGGUAACGGCUCACCAAGGCGACGAUACAUAGCCGACCUGAGAGGGUGAUCGGCCACACUGGGACUGAGACACGGCCCAGACUCCUACGGGAGGCAGCAGUAGGGAAUCUUCGGCAAUGGGGGCAACCCUGACCGAGCAACGCCGCGUGAGUGAAGAAGGUUUUCGGAUCGUAAAGCUCUGUUGUAAGAGAAGAACGAGUGUGAGAGUGGAAAGUUCACACUGUGACGGUAACUUACCAGAAAGGGACGGCUAACUACGUGCCAGCAGCCGCGGUAAUACGUAGGUCCCGAGCGUUAUCCGGAUUUAUUGGGCGUAAAGCGAGCGCAGGCGGUUAGAUAAGUCUGAAGUUAAAGGCUGUGGCUUAACCAUAGUACGCUUUGGAAACUGUUUAACUUGAGUGCAGAAGGGGAGAGUGGAAUUCCAUGUGUAGCGGUGAAAUGCGUAGAUAUAUGGAGGAA
rnacentral:rRNA from 1 species